AGCGAACGCUGGCGGCAGGCUUAACACAUGCAAGUCGAACGGGCGUAGCAAUACGUCAGUGGCAGACGGGUGAGUAACACGUGGGAACGUACCCUUCGGUUCGGAACAACCCAGGGAAACUUGGGCUAAUACCGGAUACGUCCGCAAGGAGAAAGAUUUAUCGCCGAAGGAUCGGCCCGCGUCUGAUUAGCUUGUUGGUGAGGUAACGGCUCACCAAGGCGACGAUCAGUAGCUGGUCUGAGAGGAUGAUCAGCCACACUGGGACUGAGACACGGCCCAGACUCCUACGGGAGGCAGCAGUGGGGAAUUUUGGACAAUGGGCGCAAGCCUGAUCCAGCCAUGCCGCGUGCGGGACGAAGGCCUCGGUUGUAAACCGCUUUCAGCCGGAAGAAAUCGCCGUUUUAAUACAGACGGUGGAUGACGGUACCGGAAGAAGAAGCACCGGCUAACUACGUG
rnacentral:rRNA from 1 species